rnacentral:rRNA from 1 species
UACAGAGGUCCCGAGCGUUUGUUCGGAUUCAUUGGGCGUAAAGGGUGCGUAGGCGGCGGGGCAAGUCUGAUGUGAAAUCCCGGGGCUCAACCCCGGAACUGCAUUGGAUACUGCCUUGCUCGAGUACUGGAGAGGGAACUGGAAUUUACGGUGUAGCAGUGAAAUGCGUAGAGAUGCGGAGGAACACCGAUGGCGAAGGCAGCCCCCUGGGUCGACACUGACGCUCAGGCACGAAAGCGUGGGGAGCAAACAGG